GACGUAGGGCGCGAGCGUUGUCCGGAUUUAUUGGGCGUAAAGAGCUCGUAGGCGGCUCGUUGCGUCGGCUGUGAAAAACCCGCAGCUCAACUGUGGGCUUGCAGCCGAUACGGGCGGGCUGGAGUUCGGUAGGGGAGACUGGAAUUCCUGGUGUAGCGGUGGAAUGCGCAGAUAUCAGGAGGAACACCGGUGGCGAAGGCGGGUCUCUGGGCAGUAACUGACGCUGAGGAGCGAAAAGCGUGGGGAGCGAACAGG
rnacentral:rRNA from 1 species